UACGUAGGGUGCAAGCGUUAAUCGGAAUUACUGGGCGUAAAGCGUGCGCAGGCGGUUGUGCAAGACAGAUGUGAAAUCCCCGGGCUCAACCUGGGAAUUGCAUUUGUGACUGCACGGCUAGAGUGUGUCAGAGGGGGGGUAGAAUUCCACGUGUAGCAGUGAAAUGCGUAGAGAUGCGGAGGAACACCGAUGGCGAAGGCAGCCCCCCUGGGCUGACACUGACGCUCAGGCACGAAAGCGUGGGGAGCAAACAGG
rnacentral:rRNA from 1 species